rnacentral:rRNA from 1 species
AUUGAACGCUGGCGGCAUGCUUUACACAUGCAAGUCGAACGGUAACAGGCCGCAAGGUGCUGACGAGUGGCGCACGGGUGAGUAAUGCAUCGGAACGUGCCCAGUCGUGGGGGAUAACUACUCGAAAGAGUAGCUAAUACCGCAUACGAUCUAUGGAUGAAAGCGGGGGACCGUAAGGCCUCGCGCGAUUGGAGCGGCCGAUGUCAGAUUAGGCAGUUGGUGGGGUAAAGGCUCACCAAGCCAACGAUCUGUAGCUGGUCUGAGAGGACGACCAGCCACACUGGGACUGAGACACGGCCCAGACUCCUACGGGAGGCAGCAGUGGGGAAUUUUGGACAAUGGGCGCAAGCCUGAUCCAGCAAUGCCGCGUGCAGGAAGAAGGCCUUCGGGUUGUAAACUGCUUUUGUACGGAACGAAACGGCUCUGGUUAAUACCCGGGGCUAAUGACGGUACCGGAAGAAUAAGCACCGGCUAACUACGUG